rnacentral:rRNA from 1 species
AGGGGGGACGGAGAAGGCUAUGUUGGCCGGGCGACGGUUGUCCCGGUUUAAGCGUGUAGGUGUGUGUUCCAGGUAAAUCCGGUUCACUUUAACACUGAGGCGUGACGACGAGGCACUACGGUGCUGAAGCAACAAAUGCCCUGCUUCCAGGAAAAGCCUCUAAGCAUCAGGUAACAUCAAAUCGUACCCCAAACCGACACAGGUGGUCAGGUAGAGAAUACCAAGGCGCUUGAGAGAACUCGGGUGAAGGAACUAGGCAAAAUGGUGCCGUAACUUCGGGAGAAGGCACGCUGACAC